UACGGAGGGUGCGAGCGUUGUCCGGAAUCAUUGGGCGUAAAGGGCGCGUAGGUGGCCCGGUCAGUUCGUGGUGAAAGCGCGGGGCUCAACCCUGCGUCGGCCAUGAAUACUGCCGCGGCUGGAGCACUGUAGAGGCAGGCGGAAUUCCGGGUGUAGCGGUGGAAUGCGUAGAGAUCCGGAAGAACACCGGUGGCGAAGGCGGCAUCCUGGACCAAUUCUGACGCUGAGGAGCGAAAGCCAGGGGAGCAAACGGG
rnacentral:rRNA from 1 species